CUGUAUCCAAGGCUCAGCCAAUUGUUCACAUAACAACAGAAUGCAGCCUGACCACGGAGACGGGGGUGAUGAAGGUAACGUUAGGUGAGCAGCCUGACCACGGAGACGGGGGUGAUGAAGGUAACGUUAGGUGAGCAGCCUGACCACGGAGACGGGGGUGAUGAAGGUAACGUUAGGUGAGCAGCAUGACCACGGAGACGGGGGUGAUGAAGGUAACGUUAGGUGAGCAGCCUGACCACGGAGACGGGGGUGAUGAAGGUAACGUUAGGUGAGCAGCCUGACCACGGAGACGGGGGUGAUGAAGGUAACGUUAGGUGAGCAGCCUGACCACGGAGACGGGGGUGAUGAAGGUAACGUUAGGUGAGCAGCCUGACCACGGAGACGGGGGUGAUGAAGGUAACGUUAGGUGAGCAGCCUGACCACUGAGACGGGGGUGAUGAAGGUAACGUUAGGUGAGCAGCCUGACCACGGAGACGGGGGUGAUGAAGGUAACGUUAGGUGAGCAGCCUGACCAUGGAGACUUCAUGAACUGUAUACUAAAAAAACACCUGGCAUUUGGAAAGUUUGAGGUGAGGGGAGAAAGUGUGAUGGAACAAGUAUUGUUAGCAUUGUUAAGUAUCUUGCUCGCUGGAUCUCCGUUAGCUAUCCAGAGAAAUGUUGAGCAACAUUAGACAACUUAUCUGAUCAAAUAAUUGAGCUUAUGCUGUGAAAAUUUGCUUGCUAAUAGUCAGACAGCUAACGUUAGUAACCUAACCAAUUCGCUAUAGUAUUUACUGGUAUACAACUCCUUGCCAUUC